rnacentral:rRNA from 1 species
AUACGUAGGGGGCGAGCGUUGUCCGGAAUGAUUGGGCGUAAAGGGCGCGUAGGCGGCCCGGUAAGUCUGGAGUGAAAGUCCUGUUUUUAAGAUGGGAAUUGCUUUGGAUACUGUCGGGCUUGAGUGCAGGAGAGGUAAGUGGAAUUCCCAGUGUAGCGGUGAAAUGCGUAGAGAUUGGGAAGAACACCAGUGGCGAAGGCGGCUUACUGGGCUGUAACUGACGCUGAGGCGCGAAAGCGUGGGGAGCGAACAGGAUUAGAUACCCUGGUAGUCCACGCUGUAAACGAUGAAUGCUAGGUGUAGGGGGUAUCGACCCCUCCUGUGCCGGAGUGAACGCAAUAAGCAUUCCGCCUGGGGAGUACGGCCGCAAGGUUGAAACUCAAAUGAAUUGGCGGGG